CAAGAUGGCAUCUCACACCUCAAGACCCGCUGUGAGCGUGAAAGAGAUGCCGCGACACAUGGCCCAAUAGGAGGCUUCAUCCCCACUUGUGACUACAAUGGACAAUACACCCCUGAGCAAUGUUGGGGCUCUACAGGUUACUGUUGGUGUGUGAACAGUUCUGGACAGAAGAUUCCGGGCACUGAGACUCCACCAGGCACUGCUAUCAACUGUUCCACCAAGAUGUGGACGUAGAUGAAAAGCGUUGGAACGAAGACGUUGAAGACUUGACAGUUGUCUUUGCUGUACUACAGGAACUAAUUCACUUUCCAUACAAAUAAAAUAAAUCCAGAGAUUAAA